rnacentral:rRNA from 1 species
AAAUUGAAGAGUUUGAUCAUGGCUCAGAUUGAAUGCUGGCGGCAGGCCUAACACAUGCAAGUCGAACGGUAACAGGAAACAGCUUGCUGUUUCGCUGACGAGUGGCGGACGGGUGAGUAAUGUCUGGGAAACUGCCUGAUGGAGGGGGAUAACUACUGGAAACGGUAGCUAAUACCGCAUAACGU